rnacentral:rRNA from 1 species
ACGGAGGGUGCGAGCGUUAUUCGGAAUUACUGGGCGUAAAGCGCGUGUAGGCGGCCAACCAAGUCUGAUGUGAAAGCCCUGGGCUUAACCUGGGAAGUGCAUUGGAAACUGGCUGGCUUGAGUACUGGAGAGGAAGGGGGAAUUCCCGGUGUAGAGGUGAAAUUCGUAGAGAUCGGGAGGAAUACCAGUGGCGAAGGCGCCCUUCUGGACGGUUACUGACGCUGAGACGCGAAAGCGUGGGGAGCAAACAG